GAGACCUGUACCUAUAAUUGCUAACAAGUCUAUCAGACGAUUGAGCACAUUAUGGGGACUGCCGUGGUAACACGGAGGAAGGUGCAGGCAACGGUAGGUCCGUAUGGUCCGGAUCCCCUGGGCUACACGCGCGCAACAAUGGUAGGAACAAUGGGAUGCAACUCCGAAAGGAGAAGCUAAGCCUCUAAAUCCUAUCUUAGUACGAAUUGGGGUUUGUAACUCAGCCUCAUGACGUCGGAAUCCCUAGUAAUCGAACUUAAUCAUGGUUUGGUGAACAU
rnacentral:rRNA from 1 species